CCAUCAUCCCCCACCUGGACCAUGGCAGUCACCUCCUAACUGGUCUCUGCUUCCACUCUAUCCUCCCUACAGGCCAUUCUACAAGCGGAAAGAAGCUCCCUGACAGCAGGGAACUCAUUGAUGUUGUUUGCCUCUGAAUUCCUAGCACCUGAGCCAGUACUUGGCACAUAGUAAGUGUUCAGUAAAUCAAAUACAGAUGAAUGGGAUUUAGAGAACAACAACAACAACAAAAAAAAUGACCGUUCUUGAUUUAUGUCCACAGAAGCCUGGAAUCUGAAUGCUUAUCAAUCUGCUCCCCUUGGAUUCAUUGAGCCUACUAUAUGUUACUUUAGGGGAGACAGAUGGGGAGAAGCCAGCCUCGCUACUUCCAGGAGCUCCCAGCCCAGGAAGGAGGACCAAGCCAAAAGGAAGGAUUUCGAGAAGGCAUGUACAUCUAAACACCAGCCUUGCACUACAACCAGCCUUCAGGAAACAUCUGGUGAAAUGAAAGUUCGACUCUCCUGUUGUGAUGAAGUCCAGACCGCCCAUGGUUCCUAGUAAUUAAGGAAGACUGAGCUAUUCUCACAGAAUCAAGAUCAACAAUUUCCUGACAAAGCAGUGUUUUUACCUGCUGGUGGAGUCCUACUAAAUGACUGGAAAUGACCUGCCUGCCGCUUCCCAGCCUUUGAUGUAUGGCCCCCCAGGGGAAGCCAGUGGGAGCCAGUGCCUGGAACCAAGAUCAAGGACCGCUUGGUAUUCCUCUCCCUGACUAUGACCUGGAAACUCCACCAGCUAAACACUCAUUACGUUUCAGCUAGGAGCCAGUGGCUUCCCAUCUGGCCUAGAGUAAAAGCUCAAGUCCUUAGGACGCCCAACAGGCUCUUGCCAUCUCCCUCUCCACCACCUCCCCAUGCUCCCUCUUCUUGUUAUCUUUCUGACAGUUGCCUCUCCUGCAACUCUUCUUAAGUCUAGACUUGGGUUUCUCAACCUUGGCAUUCUCGACAUUAU